rnacentral:tRNA from 5 species
GCCCACAUAGCUCAGUCGGUAGAGCACUUCCUUGGUAAGGAAGAGGUCACCGGUUCAAUUCCGGUUGUGGGCUCCA